CUUAUUGUUCAUGCAUAUAACACCCUAAUACCUAAAACCCUAAAUCAUUUUCCUGUUUUUUUGCAAAAAUGUGCCGCACCUUUUGUCUCCCUUCUCUCUCUAAGGUCAACCACCGGCGAACACCACUCUCCGGUAGGCCGCGUCGCCGGCUAGUCUGCCGCCCCUCCUUUUUUCCUCUCUCCUUUCCCUCCAUCGUGCCACCUGCCGGCGCUGCACAACAACAUGCAGCCAGCGAGCAAACCAGUGCCGUCGCCGCCGCCGCCUCUCUUCAUCUCCUCUAUCCGCUACCAGCACUGACAACCAGCCCAACGAUCAGCCGGCGAGAAAUGCAUUCAGUUUAGCCCAGUGAUCCUUUUUGGGUGCAAUUUGUUUUUCUCUUCUUCCUUCGUUCAAUACAAGCGCUUCGGGUUCUUAGGUGUGUUGUAUCCCUCAAGCUCACAAUUGCUCACCAGGUAUUACUUCUAAUUUCUUCCCGAUCUUUCUUUCCAGUAGCAACCAAAAGCAGUUUGGUUUCCUCUAAUCUCUGGUAUCUCUCUGUAUUUGCUUUAGUUGUUAGAAAUGGUUUUGCGAUUCUAUUUCAGGGAAAAGUUUUGUGGUUUUCUUGUUAUGCUCCAGAUAUAUGCUUCUUUACGUGCUGUGAUUUAAUGCUACUUAGAAAGGAUGGUUUUGUUCAUUAUCUAUAAGAUUAUAAUGAAAUCUCUAAAGUAGCUGAUAUCAUCACAGAAAUUAGUGACUUGAAAUGUUUCAGGUGUAGGUACUUUGAUAGGUGAAGUUUUGUUUUGAAUUUAGUAAGGUGCAUGGUCACUUGAGAAGUGAAUUAGUGACUUCGAUUUGUUUAAGUGUAGGUACUUGAAAUGUGAACUUGUGUUUUGAAUUUAGUAAAGUACAUAGUCACUUGAGAAGUGAAUUAAUGCAUUGAAAAUGUUUAAGUGUAGGCACUUGAAAUGUGAAUUUGUGCUUUGAAUUUAGUAAAGUGUGGUCACUUGAGAAGUGAAUUAGUGACUUGAAAAUGUUUUAAGUGUAGGUACUUGAAAUGUGAACUUUUGUUUUGAAUUUAGUAAAGUACAUGGUCACUUGUGAAGUGAAUUAGUUACUUGAAAUGCUUAAGUGUAAGUACUUGAAAUGUGAACUUUUGUUUUGAAUUUAGUAAAGUACAUGGUUACUUGUGAAGUGAAUUAGUGACUUGAAAAUGUUUAAGUGUAAGUACUUGAAAUGUGAACUUUUGUUUUGAAUUUAGUUUAGUUUGGUAACUUGUGAAGUGAAUUAGUGACUUGAAAAUGUUUAAGUGUAGGUACUUGAAAUGUGAAUUUUUGUUUUGAAUUUAGUUUAGUUUGAUAACUUGUGAAGUGAAUUAGCGACUUGAGUUGAAAACAGAAAAAGCGACCACGUGAUCGGUUUUUGUGGUCGGUUUUCUUAUUUUUUCUAGUAGUGGUAGUUACUUGAAAAUAUGGUUAAGUAUAGUGACUUGAAACGUGUACUAUUGACUUGAAAAUUGUUAAAGUGUAGUUACUUGAAAUGUGAAUUAGUUACUUGAAAGUGGUUAAGUAUAGUGACUUGAAAAUGGUUAAGUAUAAUUAUUUGAAAUGUGAAGUAGUUACUUGAAAAUGGUUAAGUACAAUGACUUGAAAUGUGAAUUAAUUAUUUGAAAAUGGUUAAGUGUAGUGAUUUGAAAUGUGUACAAGUGAAUUGAAAAUAGUUGUGUAGUGACUUGAAAUGUGAAUUAGUUACUUGUGUAGUGACUUGAAAUGUGUACUAGUGACUUGAAAAUGGUUAAGUGUAGUUACUUGAAAAUGGUUAUGUAUAGUGACUUGAAAUGUCAAUUAGCUAUUUGAAAAUGGUUUGAGUGUAGUGGCUUGAAAUGUGUACUAGUGACUUAAAAUGUGAAUAAGUUAUUUGAAAAUUAUUAAGUGUAGUAACUUGAAAAUGAUUAAGUGUAGUUACUUGAAAUUGCGAACUUGUGACUUGAAAAUGGUUAAGUGAAGUUACUUGAAAUUGUGAACUUGUGAUUUGAAAAUGGUUAAGUAUAGUCACUUGAAAUGUGUACUAAUAACUUGAAAAUAAUAAAGUAUAGUUACAAAAUAAAUUUGUUUGGUUAUAUGAAAAGAUCUCUGCUUUGAGAAUUUCUCAUUGAGUAAAUCUUCUUGUAUAAUCCAUUGCAGUGUACCUGACAAUGUAUAAUCCAUUGCAGUGUACCUUAUAUAAUUCAUUUGACCAGGUACGGAGUUUUAAGAAAUAAGAAAAGAGUUUUCUUCACAUUAAGUGUAAAAUACAUGACACCACUUGAACCUUUUCUCUUGUUCUCUUAGGUGUCGUUUGGUUUGAAAAUAGUUAUCCCGGGAUAACUUAUCCCACCAUGUAUAUGGGAUAAGUUAUCCUGGGACUAAGGAGAAAAUGAUGGGAUAAGUUAUUCCGGGUUGGAUUAAUCCCUCCAACCAAACAAAGGAAAAUGUGUUCUUUAAUUUUAUCUCGGGAUAAUUACUUAUCCCGGGAUAACCAUUUUCAAAAUUAUCCCGAGAUUUUUCAAACCAAACGACCCCUUAUUUUUCUAGUUUCAUCCUUUGUUAUCUUAAUAGAACAAUUCACAAUAAUAUGAAAAAUCAACUUUGAGUUUAUGAUGCUUUAUAUGCUAAUAAUAUAUACAUAUUUAUAUUUGUUGAUUGUUAUGAUUUUAUUUGAUACUAUAAUAUCAUAUAAGGGAAAAGACAUCAUUUCCACCCCAUACUAUACAAGAAAAGUUGAAGCCACACCUAAACUAUAUAAGUGACCUAUUACACAUCUUAACUAUAUAAAAGUGAUAUUAUUACCUCCCCGCAACCCCCAUUUUAAGGUGCGUAUGUUACACUUAUUUUAGGCGCAUCCAGCCUAUUAAAUAACAAAAGUAAACGGCUAAAAACAUUAAGGGAAAAGGCAUCGUUUUCACCCCAAGCUAUAGUCGAAAAGUUGAAUUCACACCUAAACUAUAUAAGUGACUUAUUACACACCUUAACUAUAAAAAAAUGAUACUUUUUACUCCUGAUGUGGAAAAUACAUAAUUAUUUAAAUAAAAAUUGGCUCAUUUAAAUUAAAAAUUAAUGCAAAAAAAAAUUAAAAAAAUUAAAAUACUCCUCCCCCAACCCCCAGCAUCCCUACCCCCAAACAAUCGUCUUUUUCAUCACCCCAACCCCCAAAUCAUCAUCUUCUUCAUCACCCCCACCCCGAAACUCCAAUCCCAACCUCAAAUCUUCUUCAUCACCCCACCCCAAACAAUAUAGUUUCUUCAUCAUCCCACCUUCAAAUUUCAAUCCCAUCCCCAAAUAUCACAAUUCAUCCUCCACCUUCAUUUAAUCAAUGUCAAUUUCACAAUGAACAAAAUCAAAUUUUAUUUGAUGUUUAAACGGGCAAAAUCAAAUUUUAUAAAAAAAAAAAUAUAAAAUUUUGUAGCAAGGAUGUUUUUUGGUGAAUUCUCAUAAGAAAAGUCGGAUUCAUCAUCGACUUUCUACUCUCUGUCUGUUAAUUAUUAAUCCAUCAAAAAAUGUAGCUUGCUACCAUAUUAGUUUUUUUUUAAUUAUAGCUGAAAAACAAAUAAAAAAAGUACGAAUAUGUGUUGGUCAUUACCAUUUAAAACACAGAGGCCAACAGUCGAGUGACCAUUUUUUGAAACAAUAAUGGCCAUUAUAGUUGAGAAUUAUUACUUUUUUUUUUUAAGAAAAGACGAUGGGUUACGGAUGAAGAACAAUGUUAGAAGAAAUUAAUUGUUGUGACAAUUUUGUUGGUGAGAUAAAGUUUAUGGUGGUGAAUAUGGUGUAAUGGAGGUAAUGGAGGUUUUGGACAUCGACAACAAUGGAGGUUUUGGAUAUUGAAGAAGAAGGGAAAAAAAUUAAAUUAAAAAUAAAAAAUAAAAAAUUAUGAAAAUAAUAAAUUUAUUAUGUUUUCGAAUUAUGCUGACGUGAUAGCGCGUGUAAAAUACCACACAAGUGGUGUAAUGCCUGAUAGGUUAUAAAAAAUAUCGCUUUUUUAUAGUUAAGGUACGUAAUGAGUCACUUAUAUAGUUUAGGUGUGGAUUCAACUUUUUCGACUAUAGUUUGGGGUGGAAAUGAUGCCUUUUUCCUAUCAUAUAAAAAAGGGCAGCCCGAUGCACUAAAGCUACUGCUAUGCGUGGUGUUCGGGGAAGAGCCCCAUCACAAGGGUGUAUCGUACGCGGCCUUGCCUUGCAUUUCUGCCAGAGGCUGUUUUCAAGGCUUGAACCCGUGAACUCCAAAUAAUUUAUGCUAAUAAUGUAUUUUCAACACUUUUUAUGACCUGAAUUAACAUAUUCUUAUCCAGAAUGAGUUUGAAAGAACGAAACAAGAAAUAUUAGCUGCUCAAAGUGCAUCAAUUGUGGAAGGAGGAUGAGAAAGGAAUUAGACUUGUUGAUGAAGCAUGUAUACAAGAAAUCAUCUGCAAAUGAUGAACGUUCAUCUCAAGAAGACAACCAAGCUUAUGAGAAUGAAAGUGAUGGUGAUUCUGAUGACAUGAAUGAAAGUGAUAAUCCUGAUAACAUGAAUGAAAGUAAUUCUGACCCUGAUGGUUGGAAGUUUUAUUGAGGAUUCAAGUUUAAAAUAUUUUGUUUUGGACCAUUUAAGAAUCAUACAUUAUUGAUGUGGAUGUUUUGAAUUAUGUUUUUUUUGUUAGCUGUAAGGGUUUACAUUAGAUUUGUAUUGAAUGAUGUUUUUAAGAAUUAUUGAAGGUUUUGAAUAAAUUUUUGAUUAAUUGUGAAA